rnacentral:piRNA from 1 species
GAUUGAUAUUGUGAUCAGUAAAAGGU